UAAGACACUGGGAUGGUGGCCCUGCCUUCUCCAGCUCAGCUCAGCUCAGCUCAGCUAAGAACAAUCAAGGUCAGGUCAGCUCCCAGAUCAACCCAAGGACCCUUGGGAGACUCUGCCCCCAACAGGAUAAAACCCAAGCCCCAUGGAUUGAGGGUCCCACCCUGAAGCUGAAUCUAUCAGACUAGGAUUUCUUCUGCCAGAUUAAAGGCCAUUUGCCUUGAUGAAUUGAGCAGCUUGGUGAUCUCUCUGAUUACUCUCAACAUUACACCGUCAUGCCCAUGCUGUGGACUCUCCUGUUCC